GGUUCCAUAGUGUAAUGGUUAUCAUGUCUGCUUUACAAGCAGAAGGUCCUAGGUUCCAGACCCAGUGGAACCA
rnacentral:tRNA from 1 species